AACGAACGCUGGCGGCAUGCCUAACACAUGCAAGUCGAACGAGACCUUCGGGUCUAGUGGCGCACGGGUGCGUAACGCGUGGGAACCUGCCCUUAGGUUCGGAAUAACUCCCCGAAAGGGGUGCUAAUACCGGAUAAUGUCUUCGGACCAAAGAUUUAUCGCCUUUGGAUGGGCCCGCGUUGGAUUAGCUAGUUGGUAGGGUAAAAGCCUACCAAGGCGACGAUCCAUAGCUGGUCUGAGAGGAUGAUCAGCCACACUGGGACUGAGACACGGCCCAGACUCCUACGGGGGGCAGCAGUGGGGAAUAUUGGACAAUGGGCGAAAGCCUGAUCCAGCAAUGCCGCGUGAGUGAUGAAGGCCUUAGGGUUGUAAAGCCCUUUUACCCGGGAUGAUAAUGACAGUACCGGGAGAAUAAGCUCCGGCUAACUCCGUG
rnacentral:rRNA from 1 species